rnacentral:rRNA from 1 species
GAUGAACGCUGGCGGCGCGCCUAACACAUGCAAGUCGAACGAUUAAAGCACCUUCGGGUGUGUAUAAAGUGGCGAACGGCUGAGUAACACGUGGGCAACCUGCCCCUCUCAUUGGGAUAGCCACGGGAAACCGUGGAUAAUACCGAAUACUUCGGGACUUCCGCAUGGAAGACUCGAGAAAGCUCCGGCGGAGAGGGAUGGGCCCGCGGCCUGUUAGCUUGUUGGUGGGGUAAUGGCCUACCAAGGCAAUGAUGGGUAGCUGAGUUGAGAGACCGACCAGCCAGAUUGGGACUGAGACACGGCCCAGACUCCUACGGGAGGCAGCAGUGGGGAAUCUUGCACAAUGGGCGAAAGCCUGAUGCAGCGACGCCGCGUGCGGGAUGAAGGCCUUCGGGUUGUAAACCGCUUUCAGCAGGGACGAGGCGAAAGUGACGGUACCUGCAGAAGAAGCCCCGGCUAACUACGUG